GAGUUUGAUCCUGGCUCAGAACAAACGCUGGCGGCGUGUCUUAAGCAUGCAAGUUGAGCGGCAAGGGGGAGCAAUCCCCCCUAGAGCGGCGGACUGGUGAGUAACACGUGGAUGAUCUACCCGAGGCAUGGGGAUAGUCACUAGAAAUAGUGGGUAAUACCGAAUACGGUGCGCAUCGUGAGGGUGUGCAAGAAAGGUGCUACGGCACCGGCCUAGGAUGAGUCUGCGUCCCAUUAGCUGGUUGGUGAGGUAAGAGCCCACCAAGGCGAUGAUGGGUAGCCGGCCUGAGAGGGUGUACGGCCACACUGGGACUGAGAUACGGCCCAGACUCCUACGGGAGGCAGCAGCUAAGAAUAUUCCGCAAUGGACGAAAGUCUGACGGAGCGACGCCGCGUGGAUGAAGAAGGCCGAAAGGUUGUAAAGUUCUUUUGUUGGGGAAGAAUAACCAUGGGAGGGAAUGCCCGUGGGAUGACAUGAACCGACGAAUAAGCCCCGGCUAACUACGUGCCAGCAGCCGCGGUAACACGUAGGGGGCGAGCGUUGUUCGGAAUUACUGGGCGUAAAGGGCAUGUAGGCGGUCUUGUAAGCUUGGCGUGAAAGACCACGGCUCAACCGUGGGAUUGCGUUGAGAACUGCGAGGCUUGAGUGACGGAGAGGGAGCUAGAAUUCCUGGUGUAGGGGUGGAAUCUGUAGAGAUCAGGAAGAAUACCAAUGGCGAAGGCAAGCUCCUGGCCGAUGACUGACGCUGAGGUGCGAAAGUGUGGGGAUCAAACAGGAUUAGAUACCCUGGUAGUCCACACUGUAAACGAUGUGCACUAGGUGCUGGUACGGAUGUACCAGUGCCGUAGCUAACGUGAUAAGUGCACCGCCUGGGGAGUAUGCUCGCAAGGGUAAACUCAAAGGAAU
rnacentral:rRNA from 1 species